AUUCAAAUAGUUUAAGGAAAAUGUUAGCUUGUGGAGCUUAAGAUAUAAUUUGUUAUUUUGGAUA
rnacentral:tRNA from 1 species